rnacentral:rRNA from 1 species
AUUGAACGCUGGCGGCAGGCUUUACACAUGCAAGUCGAACGAGUGGCGGACGGGUGAGUAAUGUAUGGGAAACUGCCCGGUGGCGGGGGAUAACUACUGGAAACGGUAGCUAAUACCGCAUACUAUCGGAUGUGCCCAUAUGGGAUUAGCUAGUAGGUGGGGUAAAGGCUCACCUAGGCGACGAUCCGUAGCUGGUCUGAGAGGAUGACCAGCCACACUGGGAAUGAGACACGGUCCAGACUCCUACGGGAGGCAGCAGUGGGGAAUAUUGGACAAUGGGGGAAAGCCUGAUCCAGCCAUGCCGCGUGUAAGAUGAAGGCCUUCGGGUUGUAAAGUACUUUCGGCGGAGAGGCGGUACCCGCAGAAGAAGCACCGGCUAACUCCGUGCCAGCAGCCGCGGUAAUUC